CUCAUGUGAGCUCAGUUACAGAAGACAGAAUUUAUAAACAGGGAAAGACACCAAUAAGUAUCAGAGCCAGAUUCAGCCCUGAUGUCCAGGUGGGUAAACUCCACUCCUCUGAGGGGCAGGCAGAAUGCAGAGGGUGAGAUUGAUUCCUCCAAAUGACAGCAUCAUGCUUGUGGCAGAAAAUAAGAAUCAGUGCAGGGGCUUUAGCACAGGAAUCAUCCAUCCAACUUGAAAGCAUUGGACCAGUGGGACUCAGAUGCUGUUGUGACAAGGAGAAGGAAGAAGCACAGUACAAGCAGGGGAGCACCUGGUAUAAAGAAGGAGUGAAGGGAAGAGAAGAGACAAAGAUUUUCUAGGAAAAGAAAGAACAGAGCUAAUGGAAGGAAGAGAGAGCAGAGAGAGAAGGAUGCAUCUUCUUCCUUUCGGGACUAAGACAGGUAUGGAACUGCAGGAUGCGUUAGUUAGCAAUCAGUCUGAAUGGGCUGGCAUGGCUUCCAGCGACUCAGAGCAACUCCACGGAGCUGAACGAUGAGCCUACGCAUUUUAUGAGUUUAAACAGUAAGCAGAGACUGAGCCCUAAUUCUCUAGACUUGUGGUGUGACCAGAAACCACCUCCUUUUCUGCUUCUGAUUUCCCUCAGCAGUAAGGAAAACCGAGCUACAAGAACAAUAUUUCACCAACCAUUUCUUCUAAAAGUAUUCUAAUAAAAACAUCCUGAAACUAGCAUUCAACUACUUCCUUUUUUUAAGUUUUUCUUUCUUUCUGAUUUUAAGAUGGUGGUUUUAAAGCAGUAGUUUUAAUCUAAAUUACAGAGCAACAAGAAGAAUGAAUGUUACUAUUCAAAAUAAAAAAAAGUAUACUUAAAUUGGCAUCUAACUUAUGAUUAAAUUACCAGCCCAAUUAGUUACUGAAUUUAUAGCAGUUCUUCCCUUAAUUUAUCAUUAAAUGACAGGUAAAAUGUCCAUAAAGCAAAUUCUGGGCUUUUAAAAUUCUAAAUAUAAACAACAAAAAACCAAAAAAGUACCUGGACAGCUUUUCAGUGCCUCUGAGAUACUGGGGAAUAGAGCAGAUAGCAGUUUAGGUUUAAUUUAUUUUGUCUGCCUCCAUCUGUGCACACUGUGCUGCUGGCUUGUUGCAAUGCUUGAUUUGUUAUUUUAUACCUCUAUGUAUGAAGGUCACUUACUCUACUUAUGUUUUCACUUACAGGACUUCAUUCGUUUCGCAAACCACUACUGCAAGGAUGAUAGAAAAGUCUGUUGAAAGAUAUAAAAUCCCUAUGAUACAAAGGUGGCAGUGAUUAUUCUCACACUGCGACUAUUGGGAGGAAAUUUCCCUGGGUUGAUUUUGGACACUGUGCUCCUGGAAUGACAUCUUUGGUAGAUUAGCAGAAAUACAGGUUGCAACUUACCAAAAGACUUUUGUUAACAGGGUGCAAAUAUAAUUAUAUUUCUUUUUCCAUCACCUUUGAGAACUCAAGCAUUCCUACACACUUUCAAGCCCAGCAAAGUACUUUAGAGCUGGUUAAUAUCCUGAAGAUCAGGCUAUAACACUGUCUAAUAUUUUGGUUUGCUGGUGGCUUUCUUCUGUAUUGUUUCACACUUGCUGUCAGCACAGGUUUAUGAAUAAGGAAAGCCACACUGGUUUACACUUGUGGAGGUCUGAUAAAAGUGCUUGGCAUGGAUUUUUCUUCAGUUAUGCCCCAACAUACCCUGUCUGCAUAGCUCUUCUAAUGUGACCUGAACUGUGGUCAGUGAGGAAGGAGCAGCUUUUCACUAUUUGUAUAGUGUUUGUAUCAAGUAGUUACCUGGACAGUGGGUAAGGCCCUUUUCUAACAUCAGAGACAGGCACUGCAGAUGUCAGUGAGGCUGAAGAUGGAGAACCCUGGGCUUGCUGUGUUACUGAAUUGUUCUUUUCCAUUUGGACAGCUGUGACCUGAUUAGCUAUCAGAUAUCCUUUCUGCAUGGCAAAAUUUGCAACCGUGUAUCUACAAAAAAACCAUUGCAACUAUUAGAUCUUACUUUUCCUACCUACUUCCCUACAGGUUUGUGUUAAAAAACGGUCAUCCUCUUAGAACUGCCUGUACCUUACCUUGAGUACUCAUAGGUAGAGAAUAGCACGUGCUCCUCGUGUCCCUUAGUCACGUUAGCCAACUCACACAUGAAAGUGAAGUAGAGCUGAAUGUGAUGCCCAGGGCUUUGCCUUUCCAGUUGUUCUCUUGAGUACUCAGUGCUCCUCUGAUGCCUUUUUUAAAAAAGGUUUGAAAAUAAGUGCAAGAUUAAACAGGACUUCAAUAGCAAGUAUCUAUUUGACACUAGGAAUUAUUUCUGCCAUGAUCAUCAUUAAAUAAUGUCGCUGCAAGCAAAAAUUACAUUGUGCAAACCAAAUAAAACCCAAACAAGCCUUUUCAAUCCCUUUGAGCUCUUCUCACAAUGUUUUCUACAAAUCCUCAUACUCACGCUCCAAGAAAAUACUGUAAAAAAAAUCUAAUUUGCUGGAUGGGUGGGGUUUUCACUGGCACAGUGCCAGGCCAUGCACACCAGAUUCUGCAGUGCUUGCUGUUUUCUUUUUCAGGUAAACAGAAGAAAACAGUACGUGGAAGGCAUGAGCAAACAGCAUUCGGCAGAAUAACCAAACUCCUUUCCAUCAUUAAUUUUUCUAAUGAAAUGAACAAAAAAGACUAUACAUAAGGCAGCAGGAGGUAACAUAGAGUACAAAGUCUCUAUCAGUGAUUAAAAUUACUGAGUGCCAGAAUAUAUGCAGUCUCAGUGCUACUUGGGGCCUUGGUUCUCUGCUGAAUAUGGCAACUAUUUGCAGUGGUAAGGGGAGAAAAAUAUCUAGACUAUGUCAUGGUUCACUGAUUUAUGGGAAAACAUCUAUUUUACCACUUUUUGCCAUAUUCUUGUUGAUUUACCCGAAAUAUUAGUUUUACACCUUUGUCUUUCAACUAUGCCAAUAAGUACACCAGGAAAGCUUGCAGAUGGGUCACUGUGUAGCCUCAACACUCUUCAAGGCACACUGAACUGACAUGAAGUAGUUGUUGUGGAUUCACUCACCAUGCUGCUAAGGAAAACAUAAUCUUCUGGACUCAUAUGAGUCAAUGGGAGCAUCUAUUGCCUUCAAGUGCUUGUGAUCUGUUGGCUGGCAGCUCUUGCUACAAGGUUUAACAAGGUUUUCUUUAAAAAAAAAGCCACAUGUGAAAACUUCCAGGAGACCAACCUAAGUACUGUGUGCCCACAGAAUCAGAGGCAAGGAGAAAGUAAUGUAAGCACAGUUCAGCAAGGGGGAGCUGACACUGGACCCUGCACCAUCCUGCUUGAUGAGGAGCAGGCACCAUUCUGUAGCAGGAAGGCAUGUAGGUGGCAGGGCUGAAACACAGCAUGUUCCAGUAAUUUGGGAUGACAGGGAGACAUUGCAGGUUAUUACAUCUAGCACACUUUAGAACUUUGUUUUGUCUAAGGUAUGAGAUAUUCUGGGGCUUGGUGUUCUCGCCCCAAAGUCUGGGAGGAAAUGUGGAGGGAGAAGAAAUAGUAGCAAGAAGGAACAAAACCACCACUAUACUCACACUGGCCCAACAUGGAGGCCUGGCCACAUUUGGGACUGAUUUAGAAAACUAUUUGGCAGCAUCUGUGGAAAAAAAAUGGAAGAUCAAAUAACACCUUUCUCUAAUCUAAGUGAUUUCUGUAAGUUAAAUGUGAAGCACUCCAAUCAGCCACAAUGAUAAUUCUUUUACCACUGAGCUCAAAUUGUCUGUCUUUUAUUUUUAUGCAAUUGGAUGCAUACAUCCAUAUUUAACAUCGGUCAAUAUUCAGGACCUCAAAAAAUUCUCAGUAAACGUGGAAAUCCUGUUUAGAAAAUGUGAGCUUAUAAACAUCAGUUGUUAUUGAAGACUUGUUAGUGAACGACAUCAAUCAUUCCCCGUAUACACCUGAAAAAUAAUUUGAGUUAGAUUUCAGAUAGCAGGCUUGUCACCUGAGACAGAGGUAAAGCAUUACUAAGCUCUUUGGUUGGACAGGCCAGAAGAAUGUCAAUGAAGAGGGACAAUUCCUUGAGACUGCUUCACAAAGGCCAUUCCUUCAUGCCUGUUGUGGUGUCUUUAAGGGAGGGAAUAUUCUCUGAGAUAAUUUUUAUUAUACUGAAGGAACGGUAUCUUUCAGAGGUAUUACUGUCCCAAUACAGGGCAGCGCUUUUGCCAGUGUGUUCCUAUUAGAGGGUUUAAGAAAAGAGCCCUGUAGCAUGCAUGUUCCCCUGGUGAGUUUAUGCAUGCUCUCACAGCUCUAAUAAAAACAUACAAUGAAGGUAAAUUAGGGCAGACGACUGCUUCUGUCAACACCAAGCAAACAGUAUUUUUAAGGUUUAUGUGUGACUUAGAAUUCAAGAAUGCAGACUUUGUUUUUCGUUUAUGUGCUUGUUGAAGAAAAUACUUUGAUAGAUCCAGAGGAAAAGAAAUUAUAUAGAAAUGUGAAGAGAUUAAAGCAAAGAAAGAACCUUGACAUCUAACGGGAGCUUAUUUGAUUAGGUCACUCCACAGAGCAGAAAUAAUUAAAAAUAAGGAAGAUAGAUGGAGAACGUCAGGUACUUGAAAUAACAUCUUGAGUCUACCAGCACUUGCGUUCCUGCAAGCCAAGGCUGCAGGCUUUGCAGAUGUCGAACAUGUCUUUUGGCCAAGGAACUCAGGAGGAUGAGGUGAGGCACUGGAAUCUUGUUCAAGCAGGCAGACAAGCUUGCCUCCCCACCAAUAAACAUUUGGUAUACUCAUCUAGUCUGGUUCCCUGUCUUUUGCUCCUCACCUGCUGCCAGUUGCCCAGCGUGCCUUUGAAUUAAUGAAGUGGAUAUUUGCCUUAAGGAGCAACUUGUUCUGAUCCCAAAGGAACUGCUCGUGCCUGCCUGGUGGCUGCAGAAGCGAUGCCAGCAGCCUGGCAGGUGGUGGCAGAUCAAAAGGACAACCUCCCACAGAGGUUCUGGGGAUUUCCUCACUAAUAUGCUGAUAC
ensembl:lncRNA